GAUGAACGCUGGCGGUAUGCUUAACACAUGCAAGUCGAACGGGAUUCUUCGGAAUCUAGUGGCGGACGGGUGAGUAACGCGUGAGAAUCUGCCUUCAGGUCGGGGACAACAUUUGGAAACGAAUGCUAAUACCCGAUGUGCCGCAAGGUGAAAGGUUAACUGCCUGAAGAUGAGCUCGCGUCCGAUUAGCUAGUUGGUGGUGUAAAGGACUACCAAGGCGACGAUCGGUAGCUGGUUUGAGAGGACAAUCAGCCACACUGGGACUGAGACACGGCUCAGACUCCUACGGGAGGCAGCAGUGGGGAAUUUUUCCGCAAUGGGCGAAGGCCUGACGGAGCAAUACCGCGUGAGGGACGAAGGCCUGUGGGUUGUAAACCUCUUUUCUCAGGGAAGAAGCUCUGACGGUACCUGAGGAAUCAGCAUCGGCUAACUCCGUGCCAGCGCGCCGGUAGU
rnacentral:rRNA from 1 species